ACCUGACUGCUAUCGGAUUGAUACUAAGCCAUGCGAGUCAUUGUAGCAAUACAAGGCAUACGGCUCAGUAACGCGUAGUCAACCUAACCUAUGGACGGGAAUAACCUCGGGAAACUGAGAAUAAUGCCCGAUAGAACAUUAUGCCUGGAAUGGUUUAUGUUCCAAAUGAUUUAUCGCCAUAGGAUGGGACUGCGGCCUAUCAGUUUGUUGGUGAGGUAAUGGCCCACCAAGACUAUUACAGGUACGGGCUCUGAGAGGAGUAGCCCGGANAUGGGUACUGAGACACGGACCCAGGCCCUAUGGGGCGCAGCAGGCGAGAAAACUUUGCAAUGUGCGAAAGCACGACAAGGUUAAUCCGAGUGAUUUCUGCUAAAGAGAUCUUUUGUUAGUCCUAGAAACACUAACGAAUAAGGGGUGGGCAAGUUCUGGUGUCAGCCGCCGCGGUAAAACCAGCACCUCAAGUGGUCAGGAUGAUUAUUGGGCCUAAAGCAUCCGUAGCCGGCUCUGUAAGUUUUCGGUUAAAUCUGUACGCUCAACGUACAGGCUGCCGGGAAUACUGCAGAACUAGGGAGUGGGAGAGGUAGACGGUACUCGGUAGGAAGUGGUAAAAUGCUUUGAUCUAUCGAUGACCACCUGUGGCGAAGGCGGUCUACCAGAACACGUCCGACGGUGAGGGAUGAAAGCUGGGGGAGCAAACCGGAUUAGAUACCCGGGUAGUCCCAGCUGUAAACUAUGCAAACUCAGUGAUGCAUUGGCUUGUGGCCAAUGCAGUGCUGCAGGGAAGCCGUUAAGUUUGCCGCCUGGGAAGUACGUACGCAAGUAUGAAACUUAAAGGAAUUGGCGGGGGAGCACCACAAGGGGUGAAGCCUGCGGUUC
rnacentral:rRNA from 1 species